UGAUAAUAUUUAUUUAUUAAAUUUAUAUUUUAAAUAAUAAUUUAUUUUAAUAAAAAUAAUUUUAUAAUUAAAAUUUUUAGUAUAUUUUAUAGAAAAAAUAAUUAUAAUAAUAGUAUAUUAGUAUUGUAAAAGAUAAUUGAAAUAAUUUGAAAAAUUUUUAAUUUAAAAGAAAAUAUGAUUUAUUGUAUCUUGUGUAUCAGAGUUUAUUAAAUAAAAAGUAUUUAUAUUAUUUUUCUCGAUUUUAUAAGAGUUAAUAAAUUAUGUUAAUUAAUGUGAAAAAAUUAUUAAUAAUAAUUUAUUGGAAAUGAAAAGUUAUUCGUUUAUAAAGGUAUCUAGUUGUUUAAGAAAUAAAUUUAAUUUAGUGUUUAAAUAAUUAAAAUAUUAAUUUUAAAAUAUUUUAUUAUUUAAAAAUAAUAUUUUGUGGGAUAAGCUAUAAAAUAUUAGUUAAAAAUAAAUAAAUAAGUGACUAAAAUAUAUGCUUAGAAUUAGCAAAUAUUAACUAAUUUGUUAUAAAUAAUUAAGUUAUAAUAAUUAUUUAUUUAAUUUUUACUUUUUUAUUAAACUAUUAAUUUAAAUUAUAAAAAUAAAGAAAUAAUGAUAAAAUUAGUAUAUUAAAUUGUAUAAAUAAGUUUUAAUAUAAGAUUUAUUUAAAGAAUUCGGCAAAUAUAAUGUUCGCCUGUUUAACAAAAACAUGUCCUUUAGAAUUAAAUUUAAGGUAUAACCUGCUCUAUGAAAUUAUUUUAAAUGGCCGCAGAAUUUUAACUGUGCAAAGGUAGCAUAAUCAUUAGUCUUUUAAUUGGAGACUUGUAUGAAUGGUUGGACGAAGCAUUAGCUGUUUCAAAUAAAAUUAUAGAAUUUUAUUUUUUAGUUAAAAAGCUAAAAUUUUUUUAAAAGACGAGAAGACCCUAUAAAUCUUUAUAAUUAAUUUAUUAUGAUAUAAAAGAUUAUUAUGUUUAUAAUAAAAAUAUUAUUUUGUUGGGGUGACAUAAAAAUUUAAUUAACUUUUUAUUAAUAAUUUAACAAUAAUUUUUGAAUAUUUGAUCCUUUAUUAAAGAUUAAUAAAUUAAGUUACUUUAGGGAUAACAGCGUAAUUUUUUUGGAGAGUUCAUAUCGAUAAAAAAGAUUGCGACCUCGAUGUUGGAUUAAGAAAUUAUUUUGGGAGUAGAAAUUUAAAAUUUAAGUCUGUUCGACUUUUAAAAUCUUACAUGAUCUGAGUUCAAACCGGCGUGAGCCAGGUUGGUUUCUAUCUUUAAUCUAUUAAAAUAUUUUAGUACGAAAGGACCAAAUAUUUAAAUUAUAUAUUUUAUUUUAUGAAUAUUAAUA
rnacentral:rRNA from 1 species